UGCGAAUGGCUCAUUAAAUCAGUUAUCGUUUAUUUGAUCGUACCUUACUACUUGGAUAACCGUGGUAAUUCUAGAGCUAAUACAUGCUGAAAAGCCCGACUUCGGAAGGGUUGUAUUUAUUAGAUAAAAAACCAAUGCCCUUCGGGGCUCUUUGGUGAUUCAUAAUAACUUCUCAGAUCGCACGGCCUUGCGCCGGCGACGGUUCAUUCAAAUUUCUGCCCUAUCAACUUUCGAUGGUACGGUAUUGGCCUACCAUGGUUUCAACGGGUAACAGGGAAUUAGGGUUCGAUUCUGGAGAGCGAGCCUGAGAGACGGCUAGCACAUCCAAGGAAGGCAGCAGGCGCGCAAAUUACUCAAUGCCGACACGGCGAAGUAGUGACAAUAAAUACUGAUACAGGGCUCUUUUGGGUCUUGUAAUUGGAAUGAGUACAAUUUAAACCUCUUAACGAGGAACAAUUGGAGGGCAAGUCUGGUGGAUGUUUAGAUCCUGUCUGCUGACGCCAGCAAUAGCCGGGCAUUUCUCAGCGAGAGUGCAAAGCCGGCUGGUCGAGUACCUGUCAAUUGAUGGGAAGGUACCGGCGAGACAACCUGGAUCGGGAGAGGCUAAGGCGCAGACGCGCUAUGCUGACCCCGAGCAGAGCUUCUGUGGAGCGAUCCGCGGAUGGCCUGUGUAGAGCGCGCAAAGGUGUCGGUCAGCUCAUGUAGUUGGCUUAAGGGACGUGCCAUUCCCGCCCGAAAGGGUGGUUGCUAGCCUGAGCGCCCAUCACGCAAGGGCUGGCAGUUUUGAACACCUGAAGCCCGCACAAGGGCCUUCGCGAGGGUGUGAAAAAUGGGGGUUUGCAAGGCCAGCAGCCGCGGUAAUUCCAGCUCCAAUAGCGUAUAUUAAAGUUGUUGCAGUUAAAAAAGCUCG
rnacentral:rRNA from 1 species